UACGUAGGGGGCUAGCGUUAUCCGGAAUUACUGGGCGUAAAGGGUGCGUAGGUGGUUUCUUAAGUCAGAGGUGAAAGGCUACGGCUCAACCGUAGUAAGCCUUUGAAACUGGGAAACUUGAGUGCAGGAGAGGAGAGUGGAAUUCCUAGUGUAGCGGUGAAAUGCGUAGAGAUUAGGAAGAACACCAGUGGCGAAGGCGAUUCUCUGGACUGUAACUGACGCUGAGGCUCGAAAGCGUGGGGAGCAAACAGGAUUAGAUACCCUGGUAGUCCCUGAG
rnacentral:rRNA from 1 species